rnacentral:rRNA from 1 species
GGGCUGCAGUAUUUUGACUGUACAAAGGUAGCAUAAUCAAUAGUCUCUUAAUUGGUGACUUGUAUGAAAGAUUGGAUGAGAUAUAUACUGUCUCUAAUUAAUUAAUUGAAGUUAAUUUUUUAGUAAAAAAGCUAAAAUAAUUUUAAAAGACGAGAAGACCCUAUAGAGUUUAAUAAUUUAUUUAAUUAUUAUUAAUAUAUAAUUUUUAAAAUUAAAAUUAAAUAAAUUAUUUUGUUGGGGUGAUAAAAAAAUUAAAUUAACUUUUUUUUAUAAUUAACAUUAAUUUAUGAGUAAAUGAUCCAUUUAUAGUGAUUAAAAGAAAAAAUUACCUUAGGGAUAACAGCGUAAUUUUUUUUUUUAGUUCAAAUAGGAAAAAAAGUUUGCGACCUCGAUGUUGGAUUAA